UCAACUUCACUUCUGCCAGUACUUCAACCCCGGUUCUCCACACUACCUUUGUUUGAUCAUCGUUGCUCAUAACCCGGUUCACUCACCCUCACCCUCAGCCAAGUCAGCUGGGCUCGUUCACCUGCCCUCUCCCCUCGGACUUCCCCCAAGGCGUCCUCCCAGUUCUCCCCUGCCUAGUCUCGUCCUCUGCCCCUAGUGUUCCCCGGUCUCAGUCUCCUUGGUUCCCUGUGCCUGCGUUUCCCUGGAAUCCACCUCUCCCUCAACCCCAUUUUUCCCCAAAUAAAACCUGUUAAUCCCCAGA